rnacentral:rRNA from 1 species
AUUGAACGCUGGCGGCAUGCCUUACACAUGCAAGUCGAACGGCAGCACGGGAGCAAUCCUGGUGGCGAGUGGCGAACGGGUGAGUAAAGUAUCGGAACGUGCCCAGUCGUGGGGGAUAACGUAGCGAAAGUUACGCUAAUACCGCAUACGAUCUAUGGAUGAAAGCGGGGGAUCGCAAGACCUCGCGCGAUUGGAGCGGCCGAUAUCAGAUUAGGUAGUUGGUGGGGUAAAGGCUCACCAAGCCGACGAUCUGUAGCUGGUCUGAGAGGACGACCAGCCACACUGGGACUGAGACACGGCCCAGACUCCUACAGGAGGCAGCAGUGGGGAAUUUUGGACAAUGGGCGAAAGCCGGAUCCAGCCAUGCCGCGUGCAGGAUGAAGGCCUUCGGGUUGUAAACUGCUUUUGUACGGAACGAAAAGGUUUGGCCUAAUAAGCUGAGCUCAUGACGGUACCGUAAGAAUAAGCACCGGCUAACUACGUGCCAGCCGCCGCAGUAA